rnacentral:lncRNA from 1 species
CUAACUGACCUAGAUUUUUAUCAAGCAUAUGUUUUCUGUUAUCUGACACAUGAUUGGUCACAUCCACAUCAUUAUUAGACAUUUAUUCUCAUCCCUUUUGACUAUUUAUAUGCUAACACUUUCCUUAUAUUAAUAAAUUUUCAACAUACGUGUUUCAACAAACCCAGCACUGGCAAUCCAGAUCUGAUGUUUUACAGAGAGGCAUGGAACAAGAAAAUACAUGUCUAAGACUAUAUAAAAUAAGUCUAAACUUGACAAUCAGAAGAAACAAGAACAUAAAUAAAUGUCGGUCUUUUCCAUUAUAGAUAAAUUAAAAUACAUCAUUAAUAAAAUACGUACACUUUGCAAUAUGAACUUAGACCUGAAACAAAGUAAGUUGAGGUAAGGGGUAUCAAAAUUUAAAAAUAUAAUACAAUGAGACAAACAAUGUCUCAUCCAAAUGAUUGAAGGUAUGCUUAAUAAAUAUAGUGUAUUUUUAAAUAGUUACUGACUUUAUGUAACUUUAAUCUGCUAAAUGCAUAAGAUUAAAUUUUCAUUUAUUUGAGAUUAUCUAAAAAGAAAUACGAGUCACUGAGAAGCUGGAAGCCCCUUUGGAAUAAGUAUCCUGUUAAACACAUAAAAAAUAGCUUCAUGAGUUUUCUUAGACUAUCAAGAAGGCACUAAUCAUUUCAAUUAUCUUUUUCACCUUAUAUUCUUUUUAACACAAGAGGUCAAUGAACAGUUCUUCAUUAAAUACUGACAUCAAACAUAACACAUAACAGAAGUUGUAGAGAAUGGCAGGUAUAAGUAGUGACACCAGGAAGGAAAACACUUGAUUUUACUAUCAACAACCAAGACAUGUAGGUCAUAAUGCCUUUCUAGCAUGGUGGUCUAACAGUCUAUAUAUAACCACACAAUAGCUUACUAUUAAAAGCCUCAGCAGUUUUCUCACUUCCAGUAGCAAUCUGGUUUUAAAAGCCCACUGUUUUCAUAUCUGAGUAAUACUGUCUCUAUAUUCAUUUUUUAUUUCCACCUUGUCAUUUCCCACCAAUCUCUCAAAUCAUUAUUGUUGGAUUCUGGGUAUUUCUAAUAUUCUUAUGGUCAAAUUUUCAGAUG